GACGAACGCUGGCGGCGUGCUUAACACAUGCAAGUCGAACGGAAAGGCCCUGCUUUUGUGGGGUGCUCGAGUGGCGAACGGGUGAGUAACACGUGAGUAACCUGCCCUUGACUUUGGGAUAACUUCAGGAAACUGGGGCUAAUACCGGAUAGGAGCUCCUGCUGCAUGGUGGGGGUUGGAAAGUUUCGGCGGUUGGGGAUGGACUCGCGGCUUAUCAGCCUGUUGGUGGGGUAGUGGCUUACCAAGGCUUUGACGGGUAGCCGGCCUGAGAGGGUGACCGGCCACAUUGGGACUGAGAUACGGCCCAGACUCCUACGGGAGGCAGCAGUGGGGAAUAUUGCACAAUGGGCGGAAGCCUGAUGCAGCAACGCCGCGUGCGGGAUGAAGGCCUUCGGGUUGUAAACCGCUUUCGCCUGUGACGAAGCGUGAGUGACGGUAAUGGGUAAAGAAGCACCGGCUAACUACGUG
rnacentral:rRNA from 1 species